rnacentral:pre_miRNA from 1 species
CUACUACUCCCUCCGUCCAAAAAUUCUUGUCUUAGAUUUGUCUAGAUACAUAUGUAUCUAACACUAAAAUGUAACUAGAUACAUCCGUAUUUAGACAAAUCUAAGACAAAAAUUUUGGGACGGAGGGAGUAUUAU